rnacentral:ncRNA from 1 species
AUUCAUGGUACUCGCAAGAGUUUAAUAGGGAAGUACGGUGUAAGUCCGUCACAGACCCGCUGCUGUAAUAGGCAUUUAAAAACUUCUUUGCAAUAAUCCACUGUUUAAAUAACGGGAAGGUGCAGAUGAAGGCCUUAAGUCAGAAGACCUGCCAUUAAAAAUAA